AUACUACUCCCUCCGUCCGAAAAUACUUGUCAUUAAAAUGGAUGUAUCUAGAUGUAUUUUAGUUCUAGACACAUCCAUUUUGAUGACAAGUAAUUCCGGAUGGAGGGAGUACUAG
rnacentral:pre_miRNA from 1 species